rnacentral:misc_RNA from 1 species
UGUACGGGAUACACUUCGAUCCCCCGGCGGCUCCAACUUUCGGAGGUGUUGUCGGUAGGUUCGGUGUACCGCGUCCAGCGAUGGGACGACGCAUGAGUGGUGUCUAGGAUGUGUUUCCAUGCAGGCUCCGUGUCUCUUGCAUCGAACUGCAUGGGUCCAUCUAUUUCAUUCGUGGGUUCGCCUCGAAGUAUUCGGGUUCGGUUGCGGAUACACGUCGUGUUACUGCGCUCGAUAUUUGAAUUAUAAAGUCGGAAGGAUCGGUAUUCCUCGUAUUGUUUAGUUGAUUCUCCUCUGCCAUGCGCGGCGAUGGUGGAUAUGGUGCGGGCAUCGACGUUCUACUUUCGGGCUUUCCGCUCGUGAUGGCACGUCGAUGCUGUCGGCUCUUUCGGGUGCGGAUAUUUCCUGGCUGUGGCGUUGGUCUUCGACCUUCGUGAACGUAUCGAAUCGAAGCAUUCUUGCUUCUGCGUGUAUGACCCUCGUGCUCGUCCAAGAGCUCACGGAGCCCCUUCGCUCGGCGUUCGGCGUUCGGUGUUCUUCUGGGGGAGCUAUCGAGGUCUACGGAGGAAUGCUACCUGGUUGAU